AUGAAUUCAGCCCUGUAUUUAGAGCUGGACACUAUUCAUUCUCUGUUCCGGAAACGUCAGGAGCAAAGAAAAGGUCUGACCGUCAUGUACACGGCUAUAAACACGUACAAAUCCAAUGACUGGUACAUUCCUUUCAUCUUCACUCUGAUGGCUAUUUUCCUUGCUGGAUUGAUUUUCUGGCUAUGUUUCCUGCUUUGGAAAUACAGGAACAUUAUGGAAUGCUGUCAGAAAAUGACCAAGGAAGUCUCCAAGGCCAAACCCAAUGAAAUGAAGUAUAUUGCAGGUGAUGGAAAUCAAAAUGAAAAUAUUGUCACAGGAAACAGAAAUAAAAAAUUAGAAGUAUUAACAGAAACCAUUGUAUAUGAGACUGUGUUUGAUGGAGAAGCCAUUGAUCCAGUCUCUGGGAACGUCUAUGAAUAUAACAGCAGAACAGGUGCAAGAAAGUGGAAGAAGUCCCCCAGGCACCAGAAGGAGCCCUUGGCAAACAUAUAUUCCCUCCCAGAGGUCCAUCCUGUAGAGGAGUCUACAUCCUUAAAAAUUCCUUUGCAAGGAUAGCAUUUUUCCAGUGUCUGAAUGAUUGUUUUUUUGUGUAUAUGAUUGUCACAGGCAGUUUUUCUUGGCUACCUAAAAUUAUAGACAUGAGGCCAACUGCUUUGUCUGUGUUUAUAGCUUUUUGUAAUCUUCCAGUUCAGGAUUUCUGUGUGAAGGCAGCAGGAGUGGUCAGCUUUGAAUCUCUGAACAUGUUUUGCUGAAAACGAGAUACUAAAUUGACAUAUGUUCAUUGUCUUACUUUGCCCAGUAGAAUGUAUGCUUUUUAAGGCCAGUGAGAGACUAUUUUUCUCACUGCUUUAGCCCCAGUACAUGCUUGGCACAGAGUGGGGACUCUUUAUAUAUUUGUGAAUAAAUAAAUUUGAAUAUAUGAAUCCAGAAUCUCUUGUCUUUAAUUCAAAUUGCUUAUUCCUCCAUGACUCAUGGAACAGAAAUGGG
ensembl:lincRNA